AUGGGACAUGUGCUAGAAUUCAACAAUUCUGAGUUAACAGAGUUUCCAAAGUCCCUCUGCUCCAAGCGUGAGAAGGAAAACCAAAGUAGCAUGUCUGAAUUCCUUCUCCUGGGGCUCCCCAUCCUGCCAGAGCUGCAGGGCAUGUUCUUCAGCCUCUUCCUGGUCAUGUACCUGACCACAGUGCUGGGGAACCUGCUCAUCAUCCUACUUGUCAGGCUGGACUCUCACUUCCACACUUCCGUGUACUUCUUCCUCAGCUACUUGGCAUUCACCGAUGUCUCUGUCUCAUCUGUCACUGUCCCAAAGAUGCUGAUGGACAUGCACACUAAAUACAAAUCCAUCCCCUAUGCAGGGUGCAUUUCACAGAUAUAUUUUUUCCAUAUUUUUUACUGACCUGGACAGCUUCUUUAUUGUCAAUGACAUAUGACCGCUAGGUUGCCAUAUGUCACCCUCUUCACUAUACCACUAUCAUGAGGGAAGAGCUGUGUGCCUUACUAGUGGCUAUAUCCUGUCCUGUGCCAGCUCCCUUUCCCACACCCUUCUCCUGACCCAGCUCAUGAGGAGGGAGAACCAGAGCUGCAUAUCUGAAUUCUUCCUCCUGGGGCUCCCCAUCCUGCCAGAGCAGCAGGGCAUCUUCUUUGUCCUGUUCCUGGGCAUGUACCUGACUACGGUGCUGGGGAACCUGCUCAUCAUCUUACUCAUCAGUCUGGACUCUCGCCUCCACACACCCAUGUACUUCUUCCUCAGCCACUUGGCUGUCACUGACAUCUCCUUUUCAUCUGUCACCGUCCCAAAGAUGUUAAUGAGCUUCCAAACUCAGGAUAGAUCCAUCCCCUAUGCAGAGUGCAUAGCACAGAUGUAUUUUUUCAUAUUUUUUACUGAUAUGGACAAUUUCCUUCUCACCUCAAUGGCAUAUGAUCGGUACAUGGCCAUAUGUCACCCCCUUCACUACCCCACUAUUAUGAAAGAGGAGCUGUGUAUGUUACUAGUAGCUGUAUCCUGGAUCCUCUCCUGUGUAAAUGCCCUGUCUCACACCCUCCUCCUGGCCCAAAUGUCCUUUUGUGCUGACAACACCAUCCCCCAUUUCUUCUGUGACCUUGGAGCCCUGCUCAAGCUCUCCUGCUCAGACACCUCCCUCAAUGAGCUGGUCAUUUUCACAGCAGGAGUGGCAGUCAUUACUCUCCCACUAAUAUGUAUCUUGACCUCUUAUGGCCGCAUUGGGGUCACCAUCCUAAAGGUUCCAUCUACCAAAGGGAUCUGCAAAGCCUUGUCCACAUGUGGCUCCCACCACUCUGUGGUAUCUUUGUAUUAUGGGACAAUUAUUGGGCUGUAUUUUUUCCCCUCAUCCAGAAUCUCCAAUGACAAGGAUGUAAUUGCCUCUGUGAUGUACACAGUGGUCACUCCAUUGCUGAACCCUUUCAUUUAUAGCCUGAGGAACAGGGACAUGAAGGGGGCCCUGGAGAAACUCUUCACUAGGGCAACAGUCUUGUCUCAAUGA